rnacentral:rRNA from 1 species
GCAAGGGAUGAGCCAGCAGCCGGUGGAAAUCGUGGGGUGCAAUAGUUGUUCGGGUUUACUGGGGGUAAAGUGUGCGUAGGUGGAUAUGUAAGUGAGAUGUGAAAUUCCCGGGCUUAACGUGGGAGCAGCAUGUCAAACUGGGUAUCUAGAGUGUGGGAGAGGAAAGUGGAAUUCCUAGUGUAGCGGUGAAAUGCGUAGAGAUUAGGAAGAACCCCAGUGGCGAAGGCGACUUUCUGGACCAUAACUGACGCUGAGGCAUGACAGCGUGGGGAGCAAACAGGAUUAGAUACCCUGGUAGUC